UCUUCAAGAAUGGAGAGGCCUGAGGGA
rnacentral:piRNA from 1 species